rnacentral:rRNA from 1 species
CUUGGGCCUGGCUGGCCGGUCCGCCUCACCGCGUGUACUGGUCCGGCCGGGCCUUUCCUUCUGGGGAACCUCAUGCCCUUCACUGGGCGUGUUGGGGAACCAGGACUUUUACUUUGAAAAAAUUAGAGUGUUCAAAGCAGGCCUUUGCUCGAAUACAUUAGCAUGGAAUAAUAGAAUAGGACGUGUGGUUCUAUUUUGUUGGUUUCUAGGACCGCCGUAAUGAUUAAUAGGGAUAGUCGGGGGCAUCAGUAUUCAAUCGUCAGAGGUGAAAUUCUUGGAUUGAUUGAAGACUAACUACUGCGAAAGCAUUUGCCAAGGAUGUUUUCAUUAAUCAGUGAACGAAAGUUAGGGGAUCGAAGACGAUCAGAUACCGUCGUAGUCUUAACCAUAAACUAUGCCGACUAGGGAUCGGACGGUGUUAGUAUUUUGACCCGUUCGGCACC